rnacentral:tRNA from 1 species
GCUGGCUUACUCAAGUGGUUAAGAGGUACGUCUGAUACGCGUAUAGUUUCAUUGGUUCAAAUCCAAUAGCCAGUA